rnacentral:rRNA from 1 species
UACAGAGGGUGCAAGCGUUAAUCGGAAUUACUGGGCGUAAAGCGUGCGUAGACGGUUGCAUAAGUCAGAUGUGAAAGCCCCGGGCUCAACCUGGGAAUUGCAUUUGAGACUGUGUAGCUAGGGUGCGGAAGAGGGAAGCGGAAUUUCCGGUGUAGCGGUGAAAUGCGUAGAUAUCGGAAGGAACACCAGUGGCGAAAGCGGCUUCCUGGUCCAGCACCGACGUCAGGCACGAAAGCGUGGGGAGCAAACAGG